rnacentral:rRNA from 1 species
UACGGGGGGGGCAAGCGUUGUUCGGAAUUACUGGGCGUAAAGGGCUCGUAGGCGGCCAACUAAGUCAGACGUGAAAUCCCUCGGCUUAACCGGGGAACUGCGUCUGAUACUGGAUGGCUAGAGGUUGGGAGAGGGAUGCGGAAUUCCAGGUGUAGCGGUGAAAUGCGUAGAUAUCUGGAGGAACGCCGGUGGCGAAGGCGGCAUCCUGGACCAAUUCUGACGCUGAGGAGCGAAAGCCAGGGGAGCAAACGGG